rnacentral:rRNA from 1 species
UACAGAGGGUGCGAGCGUUGUUCGGAAUUACUGGGCGUAAAGGGCGCGUAGGCGGCCACCGCAAGUCGACUGUGAAAUCUCCGGGCUUAACCCGGAAGGGUCGUUCGAUACUGUUGAGCUAGAGUGUGGAAGAGGCAACUAGAAUUCCGUGUGUAGCGGUGAAAUGCGUAGAUAUACGGAGGAAUACCUGAGGCGAAGGCGGGUUGCUGGGCCAACACUGACGCUGAGGCGCGAAAGCCAGGGGAGCAAACGGG